rnacentral:rRNA from 1 species
UACGUAGGGUGCGAGCGUUAAUCGGAAUUACUGGGCGUAAAGCGUGCGCAGGCGGUUUUGUAAGCCAGGUGUGAAAUCCCCGGGCUCAACCUGGGAAUGGCAUUUGGGACUGCAAGGCUGGAGUGCGGCAGAGGAGACUGGAAUUCCUGGUGUAGCGGUGAAAUGCGUAGAUAUCAGGAGGAACACCGGUGGCGAAGGCGCACAUCUGGCCCGAUACUGACGCUGAGGCGCGAAAGCUAGGGGAGCAAACGGG